AAUAAAAAUAAGUGAAUUGUAAAGUGUUAAUUAAAGGACACAAGUACACUUUGGUUAAUUAAGUGGGCAUAAAGGACAACUUGGUAAUUCAUGUGAAAAUGUUGUCUAUAAGAGACAAAAGAGCCGAGAGAGAGAAGAAAUGAAAUCACUUCCUCCUCCCCCCUUCUUCAUCAGCAACGACAAUACUCCCUCCUCCAUGAAAACCAAAAAUCAAUUAUUUUCUCAAUAAGCACUGCAUGUGUGAAAAUUAUAGUGCCCAACAUCGAUUGAACUCGUUAGAAGCAAAAUCAAUCUUUGAUUUCCUCUCAUUCCUGCUAUUGGUCGAAAAUCCCUUCCUCCUUCACAAGUUCAUGUUCCUCCAUUGUUAAAGCUUGCAUAUGCCAAUCUAUGUUCACAACCAUCAAUUGGAGUUGUUAGGAUUCUAAGGUAAGAACUUGAUUUCUCCAUUCCUUCUCAUGUUGAUGGUUGAAAUUCUAAUUCCUAAACCCAAAUCAUGUUUCCAUAUUUGGAUAUGCAUGUAUUCUGUUCACAAUUAAUGGAUUUGGUGAAUGAGUUAAGAAUUAAGGGAACUAGAAGAAUUGGAAGAAUUUGGGUUAAACUCGUAUUCUGGACAGACAGGCACUAAAAAGGUGACUGUUCUCUCUCUGUAAAACCGUUUAAGAUGCUGUUUGUUUCUAUGGAUAGCUAACUCAAAUACGGUCGUUGUGGCACUGGUUGCAUAAUUUUUGGACGUGAAAUGAGCAUUUCAGUUGCAAAUUAUGCGUUUUGGCGAGCUCUGGAAGUGUCGAUGCUAUUGUUCAAACUUCUUUUCAGAUAAACAGGUUGAUCGAGAUAUCAUGGUCUGCAAGCAUGGAGUUAAGAUACAUGGAUUAUGCUAGUUGAGCUGAUGUCAUGUUAUCUUAUAUUUUGUAUAAGAUUUAGUUUUUUUUAUGUUUUCAGUUGUUAGCUCAAUUUAGUAUUAAUCUCUUGGAUUUUGUAAUCCUAUUUAUGUAUUCGGACGAUACCAAAUGAAAACGUAAUGAUUCCCGAUUCAGUUA